GCCUCCUCCCUGCCAGUCGCUUCCUGGGCAUCUAUCAGUGAAACGCGUGGGGCUUGGUGGGCUUUCCUGGAGCUUCCAAUCCCCUGGGGUCCAACCACAAUGCAUGGGAAUGUGGCCAGCCUCGGACUCGCCUUUUCAGUCCUCUUGCAACCCCACAUGAAGACGAGGACCCCAGCGCUUCUCCCAGGCGCCCGCCCACAUGUUAGGGGAGCUGGAGGAACCUGACGUCUCCGCCCUCGAGUGCCCCUCCGAGCUGAGGUUGGACGUUUGCACAGGAGCAGGGAGUUCUCACGUGGUCUUCAGAGGUUGCCACACGCUGCUUCCCACAGCAGCUGCACCACCUUACCUUCCAACAGCAAUGGACAAGGGCUCUAAUCUAAUCUCUUCGUAUUCUUGCAAACACUUGUUAUUUUAUAUGUGUGUGUGUGUGUUUUUUUUUUUUUUUUUUUUU
rnacentral:lncRNA from 10 species